GGAGUCUGGGCCGUGUCUCAGUCCCAAUGUGGCCGUUGAACCUCUCGGUACGGCUACUGGUCAUCGCCUUGGUGAGCCAUUACCUCACCAACAAGCUAAUCAGACAUGAGCCUAUCCAUAAGCGAAUUGCUUCUUUUCCGAUGUGAACAUGUGUCCUCAACGAUUCAUGCGGUAUUAUCUUCUGUUUCCAAAAGCUAUUCCCCACUUAUGGGAAAGUUACUCAUGCUUUACUCACCCGUCCGCCACUGAACUAGUGAACGCAACCUAGAAAGUUUCUAAGCUCCGGUCACUAGUCCCGUUCGACUUGCAUGUGUUAGGCGCGCCGCCAGCGUUCGUCCUCGAGCCAUGAUCAAACUCU
rnacentral:rRNA from 1 species